rnacentral:rRNA from 1 species
UACGGAGGGUGCAAGCGUUAAUCGGAAUUACUGGGCGUAAAGGGUAUGUAGGUGGUUGGAUAAGUUAUCUGUGAAAGCCCUGGGCUCAACCUAGGAAGGUCAGAUAAUACUGUUUAACUCGAGUAUGGGAGAGGGUAGUGGAAUUUCCGGUGUAGCGGUGAAAUGCGUAGAGAUCGGAAGGAACACCAGUGGCGAAGGCGGCUACCUGGCCUAAUACUGACACUGAAAUACGAAAGCGUGGGGAGCAAACAGG